rnacentral:misc_RNA from 1 species
GAGAGAGAGAGAGAGAAAGAGUUUCCUUCUCUCUACCCUUCUGUUACAAGGAGACCCACCAACAGAUUAAACUAAAACCCUCACUCUUUCCUCUAAAAAUACAGCAGAAAACAAAAAAGCCAUUGGAGAAACAACAUAUUUUCAUGCCAUCAUGGAAGGAGGCGAUGAUCAGCUCCACCACCACCACCACCUGCACCACCAUCACCACCGUCCUAACUUCCCAUUCCAAUUACUUGAAAAGAAAGAAGACGAGCCUUGUCUCUCCUCUUCUCCUUAUCCUUCUUCUCUUCCCAUCUCCUCUGCUGAACCAAACAACAAUAAUAAUAAUAACACCAAUAGUAGCCUAAACCGUUCCGCUUCCAGUCUCCAAAUUGUCCCAGAACCCUCCAAGAAAACCCCUCCUAAACGAACAUCGACUAAAGAUCGACACACGAAGGUCGAUGGACGUGGCCGCAGAAUUCGCAUGCCCGCUCUGUGCGCUGCUAGGGUUUUCCAGCUAACUCGUGAGCUGGGUCACAAAUCCGAUGGUGAAACCAUCGAGUGGUUACUUCAACAAGCAGAACCAGCAGUGAUCGCCGCCACAGGCACCGGCACAAUCCCUGCGAAUUUUACGUCCCUUAACAUAUCUCUACGUAGCUCAGGUUCCAGUAUGUCAGUCCCUUCUCAGUUAAGAUCGGCUAGCUUUAAUCCAAACUUUUCGAUGCAACAACGCAGAAGUUUGUUUCCUGGAAUUGGUCUAGAAACCUCACCAACACCAACGUUUCUUAAUUUCCAGUCUAGCAAUUUGAAUGCGGUACUCCAAGCAAAGCAAGAACUGCGCGAUAGUUCUUCCCUGGAGUUGUCGACGGAGACAGAAGAGAGCUUGAGCAGGAAAAGAAGGCCAGAGCAAGAUUUAUCAUCGCAACAGCAUCAGAUGGGUAGCUACUUGUUGCAAUCCAGCACAGGGGCAAUUCCAGCUAGCCAUACUCAGAUUCCGGCAAAUUUUUGGAUGCUUGCAAAUCCUAAUAAUCAAGUUAUGAGUGGAGACCCUAUAUGGACAUUUCCAUCAGUUAAUAAUAGUGCUUUGUACAGAGGCACUACUUCUAGUGGGUUGCAUUUUAUGAAUUUUCCUGCCCCUGUGGCCUUGUUACCGAGCCAGCAAUUGGGGUCUAGUAGCAUUGGCGGUGGUGGUAGUGGCGGUAACAGUGGGAUCAACGAAGGCCAUUUGAAUAUGCUUGCUGGACUAAAUCCAUAUCGCCCUCCCGGUAUGUCGGAAUCACAGGCAAGUGGGUCACACUCACACCACUGCGGUGGUGGUGGCGGCGGCAACGGGGAUGAUCGUCACGACACAACAAGUCAUAAUUCAUAGAGCAUCAUGAUAAUGAUCACAUCAUUCCCCACCUGUGUAGUUUGAUUUGUAACACACGUGAGGUUUGAUCGUUCUUGAAUUUGAGAUUUGUUUUUUUUUCUUCUUGGUUAAUUAUUCCAAAAUUUUUUGUGUGAUUAAUAUGGGAUUUUAGGGUUUGCUCGAGGGAUGACAAUAUUAUUUUAACAUGGGUAUUGGCUGGUUUUUUUUAUAAAAAAUUCUCAUUUGGUUUUUUUUUUUGAUAAUUUAUUAG